rnacentral:rRNA from 1 species
GACGAACGCUGGCGGCGUGCUUAACACAUGCAAGUCGAACGAGACGAUUGAAAGCUUGCUUUUAAAAGUCGAGUGGCAAACGGGUGAGUAACGCGUAGACAACCUGCCUUUGAGAUGGGGACAACAGUUCGAAAGGACUGCUAAUACCGAAUGUUGUAUAUUUUCCACAUGGAAGAUAUAUUAAAGAUGGCCCCUAUUUAUAAGCUAUCGCUCAAAGAUGGGUCUGCGUCUGAUUAGCUGGUUGGUGGGGUAACGGCCUACCAAGGCGGCGAUCAGUAGACGGUCUGGGAGGAGGAACGGCCACAUUGGGGCUGAAACACGGCCCAGACUCCUACGGGAGGCAGCAGUGGGGAAGCUUCCACAAUGGACGAAAGUCUGAUGGAGCAACGCCGCGUGAGUGAAGAAGGGUUUCGGCUCGUAAAGCUCUGUUGUCGGGGACGAAUGUGCAGUAUUUGAAUAAAGUACUGCAAUGACGGUACCUGACGAGGAAGCCACGGCUAACUACGUGCCAGCCGCCGCCGUAA